rnacentral:sRNA from 1 species
GUGAAUGUAAUGUUUCUGAAAAGUGCCUGAUUGACAGGUCUGAGUAUUUGAGCCAGAACAGGUCCAGCACACACUGCCCUGUCAAUAUGCCUCAACACUGACCCUGAGGGAUCAAGGGGUGAGAGGUUAGUUCAGACUCCAGGCUUAUUCAAGUCUUUGACCCU